rnacentral:rRNA from 1 species
UACGAAGGGGGCUAGCGUUGCUCGGAAUCACUGGGCGUAAAGCGCACGUAGGCGGCCUCUUAAGUCGGUGGUGAAAUCCUGGAGCUCAACUCCAGAACUGCCUUCGAUACUGGGAGUCUCGAGUCCGGGAGAGGUGAGUGGAACUGCGAGUGUAGAGGUGAAAUUCGUAGAUAUUCGCAAGAACACCAGUGGCGAAGGCGGCUCACUGGCCCGGUACUGACGCUGAGGUGCGAAAGCGUGGGUAGCAAACGGG